GCACACAGGUGCUUGCUGCGUGAUGGAAAACUCAUUUAAUACAGAGAAGAUUGGGACAGCCCCUUCACAAGGAUGGCAUGGAAAUUCGUGAAGUGCUCUGUGGUUUU
ensembl:snRNA U6 U6 spliceosomal RNA